rnacentral:lncRNA from 1 species
AAUCUCUUCCUGGGCAAGAGGGCGCUGUUACUACGGGAUUAGCCUGUCUAUUAUUUUUGGGUGUGCACAGGGUGACAAAUUAGGAAGGGUGUGCUCAAAGGUUAUUCAAAUAUUUCAAAUAAAGCAUAUUUGAGCACGGAAAGGCCAGGGAACAUUAAUCAAAUGUCAGCACCAAGACACUUUGUAGGCUAUUUCUGGUAUGUGUUUGCUGAGCGGCAGUCUGGCUUAGGCUCUGUGGGACAUGUGAUCACCCCAGUGUGAAGAAACGUGGAGCAUUAUGCAUGGGAGGCCCUGGAAGCACUGGGAAUUUGCAGAUGGAGUGCAGUGGACAGGAUGUGUUCCGAAACAGCCCGGAGUCAUUCCUCUGAAGCAGAUACAAAGGGAUGUAGGAUUGUGUUGACUGACAAGGCCAGAGUCUAUUUCCAUUCCUGCCCCUCUUGGGAAGUUAGAUUAAAGGGGGAAAUAUUUUGCAUAAAAGUGAUUUUAACAGAGUAAUGACUGAAAUGAUAAUAUGCCGGCGAUGGGCAUCCAUCACAGUAAUGAAAUAGCCUCCUAUAGGAGUCCUGCAACUGGCCGUUUCCCCCCAGAAGCAGUGUUCCCUCUCCACAUCACCCUCUUGGAUCCUUUCUGAUCUGCCUCACUGAGGCUUCCUUCUUCAGAAAGCCAAGCGAGCAAGCAAUAUUGCCUUUCUCUCCUUCAGCUCCUAUCAAAACAGUGCAGCAGCCCCAGUCACAAACUCAAGAGUCUUUUGACAGCAGCAAUUAAGCAACUUAAUUAAUGAGUGAAUAAAAACGAUAAUAUUUACUGAAUGGGAGCAUCCUGUUUUGCAUUUUUAUUCAAACUCUGCACCUGAAGAACACCACUAAGGAAAGCUCCCCAUCCCCCUGUUGUAGAGACAACCCCCUCUCUGUCUCUCUCUCUCUCUCUCUCUCUCUCUCUCUCUCUCUCUUCCUUUGCUCUGUCUCUCUCUCUCUUGCUUCCUUUGGUUCUGGCCUCAUAAACACCCCAAGGGUAAAACACACACAGUGUAAGAUUCACACAAGGCUAAUCCCUGUCCUCUUUCCGGGGGAAUGCACUUCUAUCUUUGUCAUGGUCUUUGUUCACCCCUAAAAAUCCUCAUUCAUACAUGAAGGACAAUUUCAUGAUACUUUUCUGAGGCUGAACUUUACAUCAAAGUGGGUGAUUAAUUACUGAUAAGGGUAUAAUAAAACAUUAAUGCAUUUUGUAAUUAACCAGCUUAGGAAUGACAUCUCCCAUCGCUUCAUGAGUGACAUGUUCACACACACACACAUACACACACAGAACUUUUUUUAAAAAAUUCUUUAUUUGGCUAUUAAUCUCAGCAGUGCCCUCAAUACAUUACAUUCUUUUUAAAAGCCACAUAUAUUUUCCUCAAUGAAAUAUCUAAUCCAUCUUGAGUGUAAGGAAAGCCCAUACAUAAUUAUUCCGUCGUGACAGACAGUGAGCUUUCUCGCUAUUAUUUUUGAUGGUGCUGUCAUGGAUGCCAAAUGUAUGUUGUGGUGGGAGCCAGCCAGAGUCGGGAACCCACCUGGAGAGCGGCUCCUUUCUUCUCUCAGGAAAGGUUCCCCACGCCUGACAGCCCCACCAUUCUGGUUAAGCUUAAUUAGUCAAGAGAGAAAAAGAACUGACUUCGGAGUGUUGUGUUACGUUUGGGGCUCCCCCCUUUUUUUCCCCUUUCCACUCAAAAUUUGACAUUCUUUGGAGAAGAUGAAGUUCCAAGUGGGAUCUGUGUUGGCACUUCCCACCCUCUCGUCAUCCUCACGUGGGACCCGCUUCUCACGGCCCAUCUUUUGUCUACCAGGGGCCUCGCAGGACUCUGCACAGCCCGCACAAAGGACGUAGGAUUCUGCACUGGCAGAACUGGAUGUAAUGUUGCCCUGAGAAACAUUCAUUUAUUUCAGAGUGAAACCCGUUAAAAUGGAAGUGUGUAGGAUUUGGGUUGGCUGGAUGCAAGCUUCCCUCUGCAGCGGGAUGAGGCUGCCACUACCAGGAGCACGCUGGCCUGCCGGCGGGAGGAACAGAUGCCAGAGGAGACCUGACUGUGUCCUCAAGGCCAUGCCCCAUCAGCCAUCCCAGCAGAGCCCACAGCCACCCACAGAGGAAUGAGGAUCCCCAUCCAGGAUCACCGGAACUGCACAACUGACUCACAAACGUGUGAAGAGUAAUGGGUAACGUGUUGAACUGUGAGCCUUUGAGCCUGGGGAGGUUUGUGAUGCAGCAGUAGCUCCCAGACCCUUGAGGCUCUUCGGCACGAAGGUGCUGAGCCAUGCACCUAUGCAAAGCCAAACUCUGCACUAGGCCUACUGGGGUGUGCAGAGAGAGAGGGCUGAACAAACUGCGGUUCCACCCAGAAGACCCAGAAGAACAUUUACGGAGGAGUCAGUGCAAGAGGCGAGAGAGCAUGCGUGAAGAGGCUCGUUCUUGUGGUGUAGAAAAGGAGGCCAGAGUCUCCCAGACCACGAUUCUUUUCCUUUAGGUGUUUCUUGGGCAUUUUCAAUCUUAAAUCUCUUCCCAUGUUAUUGAGAUUUCUGAUUGAAUGUCCCCAUUUUCCCUCAGACAGCAGGCCGUGUGUGAGUCACCACCUCCAUCUUUCUAUGUCCUGGGUGUGGGCCCAGUGAAGGACAGUUAUGGAAAUUUAGAGAGAAGAGGUCGCAGGUGUGGUGGGGGUGGUGAAGCUUCAGAAGAGAAAAGAAGCAUGGUGGAGAGGGUGGACUCUGGAGGCUACUGCAGAGCUCUCCCCCAGGCUAUGAGGGGGCAUGAUGGUCCCAAUAGCCUGAGUCUGUGUUCAUUUCAACUGGCUACCUUGUGACGAGGAAGAUGGCCCAGGUUCCCAGUGGGAAAUCUAUGGUUAUCAUUAAGAACGCAGGGCCUGAGAUGAAACCUGGCAGGUGAAAGGCACCUGGUUUUAUGCAACCUGGUUUUGCAGAAGCCUGUGGGAGGGGGCCCAGGGGGGAAGGGAGCAGAGGGCAGUGUUGGCUCUGGUUCCCCCACCAGGCAGGUGGGCUAGCACCUGGGUAAGGGGCUUUGCAUCUGGAGCUGGUCAUGCCUCAGUCCAGAUCCUGCCUUUAUCAGUUGAUGGGCUGUUACCUGCCAGUGGUUAUGGUGAGGACUAAAUUACGGAAAGUCAUCAAGGAUCUUCAUUCAUUGCCCACCACAGAGCAGGCACUCAAUGGAGAACACUCACCACCAUCUAUGUUGUUAAUGUUGCAUCUGCAGCCCUUGGUUUCCUGGAAAGACUCUACAGUACAGGGGCAGGUUAGGGGCCACAACCAGGAAACAAGACACAUCUGAGAGAAUGCAUGGGAGCUUAUGGAAGGAUGUACAAGGCUGGGUGUGGGAAUCCCGGCACUUCGGGAGGCUAAGGUGGAAGGAUCACUUGCAUCCAGGAUUCAAGCCUAGCCUGGCCACGUAGUGAGACCCCAGCUCUACAAAAAAUCAAAAAUCAACUGGGCAUGGUGGCAUGUGCCUCUAAUCCAAGCUACUCAGGAAGCAGAGAUGGGAGGAUCGCUUGAGCCCAGGAGGUUGAGGCUGCAGUGAGCUGAGAUCAUACCACUGCACUCAUUCUGGGCAACAGAGUGAAACCCUGUCUCAAAAAUAUAAAUAAAUAAAUAAAUAAAUAAAUAAAUAAAGAAAGAAAGAAAGAAAGAAAGAAUUUACAAGAGGGGAGUUUUAGUGGUUGAAAAAUCAUUCACUCAUUCCAGGAGCAAGAGCCUUGUGGGUUUUCUUCCUGUUCUUGCCUGGGUUAUCUCUACUGAACCAAAGAAUCCUUGUUAGGAAUGCUCUGGUGGUGUCAAUCAAUGCGUUUAUAAAUCAUUUGCUUUUACCAUGGAAAAAGAUAUCACAAAACAACACAGCUGUAGUGCAGGUGCAGAUGACCAUGGAACGGCAGCCUGGCGUUUUCAGUAGAGCACUGGGCAGCAGAGUCCCUGGGCCUCGGAACCCCGGCCUGUUACCACCCAACACCAUCCCUGGGCAAAAUGCGAAACUCCCAUCAGAUCCAUGAAUGGAAAAUGGGCGUAAUUAUAAUUGCACCCCACUCUCUACCUCUCAGCUAAGGUGAGAAAUGAAUAUGAGGAUGCUCAGUGAAAAUGCUUUGAAGUCUGUGAAAUGCGAAGCAAAUGUGAAGCGAGAGGAAUAAUAAGGUUCUAAGGACCCACACUUGGGCGUUUGCUCUGAGCUGGCCCCUGUCCUCCACACUGAACCUACAGCCUCUCCUCUCACCUAAUCUGCACAAAAAUCUUACGAAGCAGACACACUUACCAUGCUGGCCUUUCCGUGAAAUUUCAGGUCUUAGUGUCGCCCAUUACUGGUGGCAUUUCAUGCCACAAGUUGGGCCAUCUGCACCUCCAAGCACAGGGUCACAGAAGACUUUAUCCCGUCCCUUGGGCUGACUGAAUGGUUGGUUUGUGUCAACCCCUGUUGUCCCUUUGAGCAACUCGGGGGCAAUGGUUAUGGGUAGGGCUUAAAAAACCGUCUGGCUGCAAACCCAGUGCUGAUACGAACAAGGCCUAGUCAGGCACUAAGUGUUUUGUGUUCCCCAAAGAGAUCUUAAUGAAAUCCCAGCAUGCCACUCACUCCUACACUUAAAAUACCUUUUAAGUGUAGGAAAGAAAGUGCUUUCAACCCCACCCCAGCCAUUUGGAUUCGGAGACUCCAUUUAAGAUGCACAGCUUUCCUCCAGCACAGGGGCUGGGUAUCCAAACGCAGAGCCUCCCCCAGACUCUCUCUAGGCUUAGCCUGGCUUGGUGGGCUCAGGAGGGAUUCAAGAUUAUUUCAUCCUUUAUGUCCAUUCGAUGACAGUUUAUCAUCAUUGCCACCUCAUACUCUAUUGUAGCCAAACAUCAUAACCAGCACCAUGUGAACUACGUCACUGACGCCACAUUCUUUUUCUCGGCUGUCACUAGGCUCAGGUCAGGACAGCCCUCCCGGCUGACUUCCGCGAUACUUUCUGUAUCUCCUUUUCAGUCUGCCCUAAAAUGACAGCUGGACUUCCGACAGUGGUUUCUUAUGUGGGACACAUGGCUCUUAUACUCUGGGUGGCACGGAUUCCUUUAUUGCCAGUGGCUUAAUUUUCCCAGAUCUAUUUCCAUGCAGACAGUGUGAGGUUGGACUUCAUGCCUCAUGCUCCUGAUUGGGGCUCGGAAGUCUAACCCAGCUUCCUGCAGUGCCGCCCCCAGCUUAUUCAAUGCCCAACCUGCAGGUCCUAAGUUGAACCCGCACACUGCACGCUCACCUGGUCUGUGCUGCCAGCUGCAUUGGAAAUGGAAGCAUUAAACACCGUUCUCCACUGUCAGCCACCUGCUAGCUAAUGAGUGACAUCAUUUAACACUGUUUUGAAAAGAGAGAUUUAAAGUUGUUUUGAAAACUGAAGGAAAAAUACAAAUGUUUGAGUGUUAAACAUUUUGCCCAAAUACUAAAAUGUGAAUGUCUUUUUAUUGUGACAGUUCACAGGAAAGCGGGCUAUAGCAUGCCUGUGCUUGUCAAUGAAAAUCUUAGCACUGAGUUUGGUAAACAUUCUGGCAGUCGGGAAGCCACUUAAAAAUAAAGUUUAAAGAAAAGAAAGAGAAGUGUUCACUUUCCUUCUAAUUUUCCCAGAUACGCUCAAUAUUCUGCUUUAUUUUUUAGUAUUUUAACUAAAAUAAGAAAACUCGGAUUCUACCUCUAUGUGUCCUAUGAUUGUUGUUGUUUUCUCUGAUUAUAAAAUACAGGUUUGCAGCAGAAAACUUGGCAAAACAGAGAUAUGAAGAAUAAAAUAAAAAUCACCUGUAGUUCUAAGCCAUGAGAAUAAUCAUAUAUAUAUUCCCUAGGUAUUCUGAAGCAUAUGUAUUACAGUCCAAAUAUUUAAAAACAAAAUUUGGGUAAUACUUUAGAUAGAGAGUUGUAUUCUGAUUUUUUCUAUUAAUAUUAUAACUUUGAAACGAGGGACUUCACCAUUGCUUUUAUUUUUCUUUGCUAUGUAAGUACUUAUGUUCUUUAUGAGGAAAAUAAAAACUAUAGAAAAGAAAGAUAAGAAAAUAAAAUCAGUAAUAAUCCCCUCACUUACAAAUGACUGCUGUUAACAUUUUAGUUUUUUGGUUUCUAUCUAUUUAUGUGAAAUUUGAAUGAAAAUAGUAUAAUUUCGCUGUCUCUAUAUUGCUUGGUAACAUAAUGAUUUAACUGUAUAAUAAAUAGUAUAUUACAUGAAUAUUUUGAGUAAUAGUCUGUGUGAUAAUUUUUAUUCGGUGUGUGGUGUUCCACUACAU